UACGGAGGGUGCAAGCGUUAUCCGGAUUCACUGGGUUUAAAGGGUGCGUAGGCGGGCAUUUAAGUCCGUGGUGAAAUCCCCGGGCUCAACCUGGGAACUGCAUCCGAGACUGCAUUGCUAGAGUAUGGGAGAGGAAAGCGGAAUUUCUGGUGUAGCAGUGAAAUGCGUAGAUAUCAGAAGGAACACCAAUGGCGAAGGCAGCUCACUGGACCAUUCCUGACGCUCAGGCACGAAAGCGUGGGGAGCGAACCGG
rnacentral:rRNA from 1 species